rnacentral:misc_RNA from 1 species
GAGAGCGAGAAAGAGAGAGAGAAAGAGAAAGGAUUGAGAAGGAUAAGGAGAGAGAGAAAAAUAAGGACAAAGAAAAAGCACGCGAGGAUCUCAAACCACGUGAGGAUCUCAUGGACACAAAACCCAAUGGAGAUAAAGAGAUUGUUAGACAUGAGGAGAAUGGAAAGGCUGGAGAUCCAGAGCCCAUGGAGAUCUGCACAAGCUCAACCGCCUUGCCAUGUGAAAUACCGAGUUCUGAUUUACUGAUUUUGGAAGGCCAUACAUCAGAGGUUUUCGCAUGUGCCUGGAGUCCAGACGGUUCACUUCUUGCAUCUGGGUCUGGA